GACGAACGCUGGCGGCGUGCUUAACACAUGCAAGUCGAACGGAAAGGCCCUGCUUUUGUGGGGUGCCGGAGUGGCGAACGGGUGCGUAACACGUGAGUAACGGGCCCUAGACUUUGGGAUAACUUCAGGAAACUGGGGCUAAUACCGGAUAGGAGCCCAUGUUGCAGGGAGGGGGUUGGAAAGUUUCGGCGGUCGGGGAUGGACUGGCGGCUUAUCAGCUUGUUGGUGGGGUAGUGGCUUACCAAGGCUUUGACGGGUAGCCGGCCUGAGAGGGUGAACGGGCACAUUAGGACUGAGAUACGGCCCAGACUCCUACGGGAGGCAACAGUGGGGAAUAUUGCACAAUGGGCGGAAGUCUGAUGCAGCAGCGCCGCGUGCGGGAUGACGGCCUUCUGGUUGUAAACCGCUUUCGCCUGUGACGAAGCGUGAGUGACGGUAAUGGGUAAAGAAGCACCGGCUAACUACGUG
rnacentral:rRNA from 1 species